rnacentral:rRNA from 1 species
AAUGAACGUUGGCGGCGUGGAUUAGGCAUGCAAGUCGUGCGGAAAGGCUCCUUCGGGAGUACUCGAGCGGCGUAAGGGAGAGUAACGCGUGGAUAUCUACCCCCUGGACUGGGAUAGCGGCGGGAAACUGCCGGUAAUACCAGAUAAUGUCUGCGGACCAAAGGUGUGAUUCCGCCGGGGGAUGAGUUCGCGUCCUAUUAGCUAGUUGGUAGGGUAAUGGCCUACCAAGGCAAAGAUGGGUACCGGGUGUGAGAGCAUGGCCCGGCUCACUGGGACUGAGACACUGCCCAGACACCUACGGGUGGCUGCAGUCGAGAAUUUUCGGCAAUGGGCGCAAGCCUGACCGAGCGACGCCGCGUGCGGGAUGAAGGCCUUCGGGUUGUAAACCGCUGUCAGAGGGGAGGAAAUGCGUGAGAGUUCUCUCUCACGUUUGACCUAUCCUCAGAGGAAGUACGGGCUAAGUUCGUGCCAGCCGCCGCCGUAAAAC